CUUAAGUAGCGCCCCCUGAGUAAGGCCAGGCUUCUUCACAAGGCUGACUCUUCCACAGUCUCCCCUUUUUCUUAUUUAGUGUCUCCUCACUGGCUGGACAUCUCUCGUGCGGCAUCCCUCUCAGCCCUGCCCUGGCCCUGAGCAACCCCACUUUCUCGUCUAUCUUCAGGCCUCCACGAACACCGUGAUUUCCCACUGUGGCGGGAGCAUUCACUCUGCCACCCAGAUGAAGAAACUGGAGUUCAGAAAAGUCAGGCAGCCGCGUGCAAGGGUCCUGGAAUGCCACAAACUUCUGAAAACUGCCUGUCAGGAUCACACAGAUACUUGGAGGAAAGAUCUUCAAACCAAGUGUCAGAAAUGAGAGAUGAGCUUGUGUGACCCCACUUCACCGCGCACAUGUUAUCAACCCUUAGUCACCGGAUGGUGGUGGUGCGGCUGCGUGGAAGGAGAUCCUACAAAUAAAAUAGGAAAUAUGUGGAUGUGUGUGUUUUGACUCCAUAUUAAAGGAAAAAAAAAAAAAACCCUUUGGGUUCUUCUUUCCAAAAUUGUGAUAUAAAGGUAUGAACCUUUCAUUUUUUGAAGUCUUUUUGGGAAAGGCGUAAAGCACGCCCAGGACAGUCAGGGGACCAUAUUUUGUGCAACAGCAAUUCUUCUAAAUAUAGAACGCACAGCGAUCACAAGAGGGAUGCGAGCGGUGUCCUUGGAUGCUCCGCAGAACAGGCGGAUGACAAAGCUGCUAAGAAGGUUUACAUCGAAAUCCUGCGCUCCCCGAUUUAGCAGAAGGCUUAUUUCGCUCUCUCGCAUGAGUGGGUUGCAGGAGCAGACCCACGGCAGUUGCAUUUUGAAUCCAUUCUUUGCCUCGUCCCAGGCCUGCCUUAAAGGUACACACUUCCCACAGCGCCUCUGUGGCUCAGGUGGUGAAGCGUCCGACUUCAGCGCAGGUCAUGAUCUCCCGCUUCGUGGGUUCGAGCCCUGCGUCCGACUCUGGGCUGACAGCUCGGAGCCUGGAGCCUGCUUCG